rnacentral:miRNA from 1 species
UUAAAAUGGCACCAAGAUUUUU